rnacentral:rRNA from 1 species
GAUGAACGCUGGCGGCGUGCUUAACACAUGCAAGUCGAACGAUGAAAGCGGGAGCUUGCUCCUGCUGGAUUAGUGGCGAACGGGUGAGUAACACGUGGGCAAUCUGCCCCGAACUCUGGGAUAAGCGUUGGAAACGACGUCUAAUACCGGAUACGACGCGCGAAGGCAUCUUCUGCGCGUGGAAAGAACUUCGGUUCGGGAUGAGCUCGCGGCCUAUCAGCUAGUUGGUGAGGUAACGGCCCACCAAGGCGACGACGGGUAGCCGGCCCGAGAGGGUGACCGGCCACACUGGGACGGAGACACGGCCCAGACUCCUACGGGAGGCAGCAGUGGGGAAUAUUGCACAAUGGGCGCAAGCCUGAUGCAGCAACGCCGCGUGAGGGACGACGGCCUUCGGGUUGUAAACCUCUUUUAGUAGGGAAGAAGCGAAAGUGACGGUACCUGCAGAAAAAGCACCGGCUAACUACGUGCCAGCCGCCGCCGUAACAC